GCCAACAGCGGCAACCUGUGUGCUGGGUAGCCUUCCACAUUGUGGUAGCUUUGUUUUUUUGCUUUUUGCAAUAAAUCUUGCUGUUUUUCAUUCUUUGGGUCCGCGCUGCUUUUAUGAGCUGUAACACUCGCUGUGAAGGUCUGCAGCUUCACUCCUGAAGCCAGCGAGACCACUAACCCACCAGAAGGAAGCAACUCCGAACACAUUUAAACAUCAGAAUGACAAACUCCAGGCACAUCAUCUUUAAGAAGGGUAACACUUAUCGCGAGGGUCCGCGGCUUUAUUCCUGAAGUAAGUGAUACCAAGAAACCACCAAUUUCCGACACAUUAGCAUUACAAGUCCUGCAUCUGAAGAAACCUCUCAGUCUUAGGCAAGCCAGUAUGUGCCUUGCUCUGUUUCCCAGUGGCACAAUCACAAGCUCACUGCAGCUUCAACCUCCCAGGCUCAAGUGAUCCUCCUGCCUCAGCUUCCCAUCUGGCUGCAACCACAGCUUUGUUUCUGUGUUUCCUUUGUGCAAGGAUUGUUACUAGAGAUAAGAAAUCAAGGCAUCAUUUUGGUUAUCUAUUUCCAUGGCAACACGUGGAUUCGAAGUCUCCACCUGACUGCAUUGCUUCAUGGCACUGUGCUUUUGGACAUUUGAUAUCCUUCAGCUAGAAUAUAUUUCUUCAUUGUCCAUUCACAGGAGCCUUCCUUUCUUAAAGACUCAAUUAUACAACAUUCUUUCUACACUUAAACUUCAGAUGAACUGAUUCCAGCAGAAUGGACUCUUAUCUUGACAUAGGGGACCAGAGAAUUGGAGCUUCAGAGGACAGGAGCAGCCCCAUUUCCUGAAUCUUUCCUGGAUGCCUACAUGAAAAUGUCAAGGGCAUCUCCAUUCCAAAUCCUUUCAGUAAAAAUCAUCAGAUAGUGUUCCCUCUGCAAUGAGAUAAUGUUGUGCCCAACAUAGUUUGCAGUUUGACUAAUUCCUAAUAUAUUCUACAAGGAUAUAAUAAUCCCUACCUAACCCCUGUGCAUUUUUAGUUUUUUUAGUUUUUAAGCUCAUGAAAACUCAAGACUGAAAAUAAGUUCUCAAAACUAUUUGUGACUAAAAACAACAACAACAACACAAUCCUUGCAUUCUGACUGUGCGAUUUUGGAGAUUCAGAAGAGCACUGGGUAAGAUUUCUUAAAGAACUCACAAUCUGGUUGGAAAGAUGGAUAUUGUAUAAUGCCAAAGAAUCACAAACAACAUAAUUCAGCAAUAAACUGUGAUACAGACUUACAGUAUCAGAGAAAUUCUCAGAAGAGUAUGACUAGAGGCUCUAUGAUUAGAGUGAGACCUUGAACACUGGGUAGGACAUGACACAGUAGGUGGGUGGAUUUCCUAAGAGAGCAUCCCAGGCAAGGGAGAGCAAUGUGAGCAGAGACAUUGCACCUAGAAAUGGAUCUUGAUGUUCUAAAGGAUGAGGAGAUUUGAAACUUCUUUACCUGAGAAAGGCAUUUUUGCUGUGGCAUAACAAGGAGAUAAUAGGAAAUGGGACCAAAUUACAUAGACUUUGCUAUUCUCUUUGUUUCCAGAUUCAAACUCUCUCUUUUUAAAGGGAGAGGAUAAGAAAGCCUAGAAAGAACAAGUGUUGUUAUGCACACAUUGAAGGAAAGUCUAGAUACUCCUCUCCUAAUUGAUUGGGAAUUUAGGAUGUUUCAUAUAAUCAGGAGGUUGGAUGGGAUCUUGAAUGGCUGACUCCAUCUCUCUGGGUUGAGGCAGGAUAAGAGAUAAGCCAUCCAAUACUGGUUUAAAGCUGUAUUUUAAAGUUUCUAGCUAUAUAGAUGUAAUCUCUCUGGUAACUUUUCAAUUCCACAGCAACAUUCGCAUCAGAAAAUCUUGCUACUAGUGUACUGAAGUAUCUCUCAUUGUGACCUAUCUAAGCCCUGUGCAUUUGUUCUGUCCUAGUGAAAAUCACAAACAGUCAAUGUUCAUAGCCAAUUUCACUAGCUCCUCCAAAACUGAGCUAUUGCCAUUCAGUUGCCUUUUUGAACUAUUAAAUGACUCUCAUCUGUGCUUAGUUCGACAAUUGCUUCCGCUUCAGGUUAUUUUAAAGAUUCUUCAUUGUGGCUCACAAUAGAUAAAUUUAGAUGGCUUCUUUCUAUUUUUCCCUAUCAUCAAUUCUUCUUUCCUACUACUUCCUAGAACCCUGGCUUCUCUCAAUAACUAGUGUUUAAUCUUGGAAAUGUCAAUUUCCAUUUCAUCUAGGUAUACAGCCGUGUGGAAGAAGCAAGCGUUGAGAGCUAAACAAUCUUAGAAUUCCAACUUGAUUCCUCUGUGACUCUACUUCCUCAUCUGCAAAAAUUCAUAAUAGUAAUAGUACCAACCUCAUAAGUUUGCUGUAUGGGAAUUAUAAAAAGUACUCCCCACUGAGUUUGCUCCAUAGUAAGCACUCUAUAAAAGUUAAUGUUCACUUUUUAAGGCCUCAUGUCAUCAAAUGCUAGCUGUGGCUUGACCUUUGAGCCUGUUUCCUCAUCUGAUAAUGAGUAUAAUAAGAUGUGUCUAAUACAUUGUUAAGCUCCUGACACAUAGCAGCACUUGAGGGAUGGACUUAUUAUUACUAGUGGGAAAAAUUUGGUAUUCACAAUGGCCUGUCCACCCUUACUUUAUACUAAAGGAAAUGAUUCCAAUUUUAGGGUCAAAAAUCUAUUUAAAUACAGGCAUUUCCCAUCUAUGUCCAAAGCCUUCUCUGAUUCCUUAAGAUGUCCCAUAAAUUUUCUGUAGCUGUCGUCAGUGGCGCUGAUGGCUUAGUAUUAUGGACUACCAUUUUAUUUGGCAAAAAAAAAUGAUAAAAUUCUUCAGAUACCCUUAGAUUUGUGCUGCUGAUCCCCUAAUAUUAAAAUACUUUGUUAGAUUUGGGAAUAAUAAAAAGAAAACAAAAAAGUAAAAUAAAAAUGUUGAAAUUUUAAAUGAAAGGUUGAGUAGCAUUUGGAAUCGCUUUCAAAUGUACAUUCAGAAGGAAAAGUGGUCAGUGGUGGCUGUGGCUGGUGGGGGAAAGGGCUCAGAUGUGGCUUCUGGGAUUCCCUUACGACAUUUGCAGAAGUGUGGGAAGGAUGACAAGUUCUGCUCCACUCUGGAGCUGCUGAACCUGAGUAGCCACAUCUAACAUCACAUCACUCGUGGGGAGCAGAAGGAUAAGGGUUGGGGGUCAAGAUGCGGUGUUGGGGGAGGUGGAGGUGCAGCUUCAGCAGAUCCUGGCAGGGGGGUCAGAGCUGGAAUAGAUCACAGUCCCCCCUCUGGGGUUUCCUCUCUGCCUCUCCAUGUGUUCAAGACCAUUACUGUGACUAUGAAAGAGUUGCAGGCUCAGCAUGAGGAGCAGCAUCAGGGCAGAAUAUAGUGCUCUGAGGCUUGGCCAAUUACGUCUUAGGUCAGCUCAAUAUUAGUUGUUCUGUUGCUAAUGUAAUUUUAUUACUAUAUUUACUAUGUGUCAGGUGCAAGUCUAAACACUUUACAUUUAUUUUCUCAGCUAAUUUUUGUAGCAACCAUAUAAGGGGUAGUUCCAUUUCACAAAUGAGAAACUAAAGCACAGGGAGGCCAGGUAGCUUGCCCAAGCUAGUAUGUUCACAAGGCAACUCAGAGGUUUAGCCCCAGAGCACCAUGUGUAACCAUGGAUUUAUACUACCUUUCUGGAAUGUGGCUUUCCAACAUUCCAGUGUUCCAUUUUCAGUAAUUCUAGUCUGUGAGUGGGUAAAUGAAUUCAGCUUCUUAGGGCACAUUUUGCAAAUAACUUCCUAUGGUGAACUGUUGUAUGGCAAGUAAUCAAAGAAAUUCAAGCACCUGAAAGUGACAUUAAACAGAUGAAGACUGGCUGGCUUAAUGAUCCUUUAGAAAUUACAUUGCUAUCAUGUUACCAACUCUUUAAGAGUUAGGGUAAAGAUACCUUCCCAGAAAAAUAACAUAAAACUAAAAUCCAUAAAAGCUAAAUAGCUUAUUUUCUCUUCUAAAUACAGAAUUUUCUUUUUUAUUAAUCACUAGUUGCAUUUUGGGGCAAAACAAUGUCUUACCAAAUAAGUAAAUUUUACUAUUUAAGAAAAAUAUGAUGAUUUAAGAAACAUACAAUAUUUUGUCUAUCUAAAUAAAUUCAAAGAUUUAAAGAUUGGCCUUAGAUACAGUGUUCAUAGUGCAAGAAGUGUGACUGGGCUUUGGAAAGAGAUGGCUGGAUCCCUGGACCACCACUAUCUUUUGGAAGCCCUAAGCGCAAAUUUUGGAAAAACUUCUCCCCUGACUAGACUAACUGAGAAAAGUCACUUUCUCUGACUAAGUGAAGUCUUGAGCAUGGCAUGCAGCUUGGCAAGGAAGAGGUUGGGCCCUUCAUCUGGGUGUUUUUAUGCACUAAGCAAAAUGCCCUUUAGGGCCUGGUGUGGUGGCUCAUGCCUGUAAUCCCAGCACUUUGGGAGGCUGAGGCUGGCAGAUCACUUGAUGUCAGGAGUUCAAGGUCAGCCUGGCCAACAUUGUGAAACCCUGCCUCUAUUAAAAAAAAAAUCAGCCAGCCGUGGUGGUACACGCCUAUAAUCCCAGCUACUAGGGAGGCUGAGGCAGGAGAAUCUCAUGAACCCGGGAGGUGGAGGUUGCAGUGAGCCAAGAUCACGCCACUGCACUCCAGCUUAGGCAACAGAGCGAGACUCCAUCUCAAAGAAAACAAAAAACAAAAAAAUGCACAUCUGUAAGCAAUGGCAUUACUAGGCCCUUCAUCCAAAUUGCUUCUCUUCCAUAGGAAAAGCCUUUGACAUUCUUCUGGGGAUCCUCUAGGCCUCUCCCAAACACCUUGGUGUUUUUUGUGCCAGUGCAUGCAAGGUUAGGGUUACACAAGGCAGCUGAAGUUUUCUCCUUCCCUUAUCUUCUGAUUCAUGGGCUUGAACGAUUUUGUUCUGAUACACCAGUAAGAACACCAUAAGCAGCUCAACUCUCAAAGUCCCUCUCAGCGAACAUAUUCAUGGCUGUUGUCAACAAUAAGGAAACUUUCUCCUCCUGUGGGCCUCUUAAGUUCGUGGGCCUCAAAAUUUUGUGUCAGUUCCAUCUAAUUCCAAGGAUUCCUUUCUAAAUGAAGCACAAAUAAGUUGCAGAACAAACUUUUACCACUGCAGAACUUCCCUAUCCCUUCUGUUUCAUCUCCUCCUCUCUACCGCAGCACCUAAGGACAUUGUUUUCAAAGAGGGACAGCCUGCCUCAGAGGACUUCAUCCCUUCUCUAGACACACUAGUCCUCAGAGGUGGCCUCCUAUCUUCUCGGGAUCUUGUCCAUCUUUUGAUAUUCAGCCCAUGUCUUGGCCUUUGGCCCUGUUCCUUGUCCUACAUCAUUAGAUCAUAUACCAACAUUGUAUAUAACUCCUAUUUCUAGACUUACUCAUCCCGUUCAUCUGAAAAAGAUGAAAAUCAUCCUAAUCCAGUGAAGGUGUGCAAGCACCUUGAAGCCUGAACUACAGGGCCCCCCAUACUGUGACCAAUGUACAGUAGAUAAUCACAGCCACAUGAUCCUAGGAAGAGGGCAGAGGCAGGCAGAGGUAUUUGGAGAGUGCUGUAGGAUUCCAAGAUGGACUUCUCCUUGAGCCUGACUGAGGGGUGGGCUGGCUGGACAGAUAGGAGAGCUUAGGGCCUCCUUCCUCCCAUGUUUGGCCUGAGUGAGCUGAAACCCUGUGCUGAGUAAUCUGCACAUUUUAUCUCCUCUUCUUCAUCCCCACUGCUCCUGCACUUGUUCAGAAACUCAUCACUUCUUCUCAGAAAAUGUAUAAAAUGAGAAAAAGAAAGGCAGAAUGAAGUCCAGAGAGGAAGAAGUCAAUGGCACCUGAACAGGAUCUGCGGGUACACAAGGGAGCUUGUAGACAAGCGGUGCCUGGCCCCAGGAGGAGGGCCCUCUCAAAGGCGAGGAUGGGCCAUGCAGGGACCAUAUCAACAUAAAAAGUCACCCAAAGAAUGUCAGACAAUAUGUAAUGAGUAUCCAUUUGAUCCAACAGCUGAGAGUUUUUUGGUAACUCAGUGGGUAAAACUGAGAAGGAGCCAGAAUUUUGUUUUGUUUUGUUUGAGGUAUGCACGGUUUGGGUAGUUCCCUCAACUUUGGAUGGCAUUUAUUUCUACACCAUCACACACUCCUGGAAGAGAAGCCACUCCAGGAAGCCUGGACUUUCUAAUUGACAUCCAGUUGCCUCCAAUCCCACUCAAUCUUACCUGUACUAUUGGCCAUCUCCUCUCAAUCAAGUUCAUUCCAUAAUGAUGUUUUCCUGAGUAAACCAAAAAAAAAAGAAUCCUUAUAAAUAGGCAAAGACUAAUUAGUAAAAUAGGCAAAGGCUCUCAGAGUCUUUUUUCCCAUGUAAUGUGCAUGUAUCUGAAUAGGAACUUCUUGUUUCUGGCUGUUGAAUUAUCCAAAAGGAUGGCUUUAGUGGUAAGUUUUGUGCAUAAAGGAAAGGAAGGCAUGUUAGCCAGUGGAGAAUACAUUUAGGCCACAGGGACCUUGUGGUGCUUCUAGGAUUACAAUGGGCUUUAUGCAUGGAUAGCAGAUGAGGCCAGGGGAGGAAAAACUCUAGAGAUGGAAGGAUGGAUGGACAAAGGAAGAAGAGAAGAAAGAGAAAAUAAAUAGCAUAUGCAAUAUGUUGAAUUUGCACUGCUAGCAAGCAAGAACUUAAGUCACACACAUACCCGGAGCCAGGCCCUCAGGAAUAUUUCUCGACCUUUAUGCUUUAUUCUUCUCCAGAUAGUAAAACACCUACAAAAUAUCAUCAGGCCUUGUUCUUCAGCAUGACAAAAUGUCCUGCUUCUCGCCUCUGUGAACAACUGGGACUGAGAUUGUAUCUCCUUUCCACAAGAGCCCUUGGGAUCAACACCUAUGGAAGGGAAGGGAGGAAUGGAAAAAAGGGGAGCUGAGCUGGGAUGCAGAUCUGCUAGAUGCCUCAGACAACCCUGCGGGGAGUUAUGGAGAUGGAAUGCCCUUUAGAAUUGUCCAGGGUUCAGGAGACAGGGGAGGCCUUUUUAUACCUGCAUCGCCUAGUCACUGGGUAUGCUUGAUGGGGAAGAAUCAUGACUUUAGGAGAGAGAGGUGGCUCUCUGAAGCUAUAGCAAUCCCCAAAGGGGACAGACCUUUGCAGAUGAGGUCUGUCUUCUGGCAGCACUCCCAGAAACGAAGGUAAAGUCUCCGUUAUUCCUGAGGGGGAUCCGGAUGGCUUAUCAUGUCCAUCACACUCCGCAAUGCUAUAUAAUACUAUAAAACUUUGCAAAUAGAAUGAAGGAGAAAAUAAAUAUUGCAAAAGCAUACUGUCAAAUUUCUACAUAACAGAAUAUUAGGUUUGAAAAUAUUACCAUUUAAUUAAAUUUCUCCUCCUUUUACAAUGAUGUUUGCCUUUAAAGGGGUCACCAGAGAAUAAUUUGUUUCACAGAGCAGCCAUGCUAUUAAUACUACUGUUUAGAGAUAUAGAAACGACUUUGCAACUGUGAAUUGCUAAGAAUUGUAGAAAUAAAGGGAAAAUAAAAUUUUC